CUGUUUCACCACCACCACAAAGAAACUUAUUUUAAUUCGAUAAAGUUAACAACACGAUUACUGGAAAGAAAGAAGAAAAAAAGGGGCAGAUGCAGAGGCAGAAAACAAAAGUGAAAUUGACGACAACAAGGGCAACAUGGAAAGGGCUGUGUGCUUUCGGCGCGAGAUCAUUCAAAGUCAGGUGGCGGCUUCACUUUCGUUUUCAUCUCAACCUAUUACAAAAUAACCAAUACCAAUUCACAUGUGCCGCCGUGCAAAGAUAUGCGAGUGUGUGUUAUUUAUCUCUGCCAGAACUCAACAUAAGGGAAAAUAUCUGGGGAAAAAAAGGAGCGCAAAAGCAACCUGCGAGCAGAUUAAGGAGGCACCCGCCAUCGUUGGAAUCAUCUCUACUACAAAACAACAGAUUCGAAAACAACUAAAAACGGGAGCCUCAUGGCAGAGAUAAUGUUGACAAUCUUUAGAUCUCAGCGACUUUUUUGUUAGCUGCACGGAAGUCUGCUCGCUUUUCCCAACCCAAAUUGAAGGAUUACUGGAAGCUUUGGAAGAUUAUGCUCGGCGGGAGCUGCCAAUCAAACUUUUGCGCGCAUCUAAAUUUGGUGGCAACACCAAGCGAUAAAUUAGUUUGAGCUGAGAGCCAAGACAAGUGCCACACGUCCCUGCACAGCUCAUACCACGAGUAGUAUUGCAAGGCGAAUAGUCGCUUGCCGGAAAUUUCAAUUAAUUUCGAGGGCGGGACGCUUAUCAAAAGCGUUUUGCCAAAGGCCAAAGUGCAAUAUUCGCCACGUCUGACUCACUUACGAGUUAUUUAAUUAAUGAGAUGGAAUCCACAGCAAAGUGAAAACAAAGCAAUAUUGCUGCCGCAAGAGAUUUAAAUCAAAGUUGGACAACAAUGGCCAGCACAAUUUCGUCCCAUCGUUCCUUGCAACGGACAGGACCUGCCAAAGUCAACAAAGUCGAAAAAGUGGAAAGACAAAGGAGCAGAACACUUGACAAGUUUCGCAUCAUUACUUGGGUGUUUUGUGGUGAUUGGUUUUUGUAUGACUUUUACCAUCAAGUGGGGGGAUAAGCCCAGGCGGACAGUCGUCCGUUCGAGAAAUGAAUUCCACACUUGAAGUGUCAGGCAAACAGAAUUAUUUGACGACGUGUUUUGUUUGGUUAAAUGAAACUCACACACACACACACACACACGAACAAACUUUAUCAAACUAAAAGAGAGAAAUAAUAGCAGCUACAACUAGAAAAACUGAAGAGCCUUGGGGGUCUUGGCUUGCACUCUCUUACAUUUCAAUUAAAGUUUCAUUUUAGUUAGAGUUCGGUCCUGUUCCCUUGAUUAAAAUGUGAAAACUGUUCACUGUUUUCCUACUAAUUAGCUGCACUUGUUUGUUGCUAGACUUUCAGCUCCGACUGUGAGGCGGCCGGCACAUCCCACAUUUGUGUGUGCAGCAGCAGCCAGCACACGCGCGAGACCCCACGAAUGUGGAUUAUAAAAAUUUAUGACUCAUAGAAAUUAAACGACUGUCAUUCGUACAUAUUAGCGUGGCCAAAUUAGUUUGUCUUAGCCGCUGUAAUGCGGCCCAGAGAGAUGAAGAGGGAGAGGUAGCGACUGUGUGUGUGUUUUUGUGGGUGUGGCGAUAUGCCAUGACUAAGGAUUGCUCCAGAUCGGAUUCCUAUUGACUGUAAAUUACCCAAACAAAAAGGGAGCAUUUUAUGCAUAAACUAGGCCAAAGGAGGAGCCCCAAAGAUGCAUAUCAAAUCAUUGUGUGUCGGAAGGGGGUGGCAUUUGCCAAACAUAAAUCAGUGGCAACCCAAAUACAUACAUAAAUAUCGUGUAAUAAACAUGUUUCCGGGGAUGAACUUUUUAUGGCAAGGCAGCAAAGGUAGCCAGGGUUUUUGCUCCUUAUCUCUGCCAGGAUUUGUUCACUCGAACAAUAAAUGUAAUCCCGUUUUCCCGGCAUUUACCAUUACAUUAUACUAUGUAAACUUUGUCUUUAAUUGAACUUUUCGUGCUGAUGGGUGGGUGUAGGGGCGCCAAAGCAAUUGAAGGAAUUUAUUGAUGUGAUUUUACGAUUCUCAUUUGCUUUUGCAAAAUGUUGGCGAGGUAAAUUUGUUAGUUGUUAUAGGCAUCGAAAAGAUAACAAAAUCCACGAAACACAGAGCUAAAUAUAGGCCAACACCAAUGUGUAUGUGCGGCUGGUUGUGAUUUGAUCAAUUUGCAUGGUUUGCAGGCUCUUUGUUUAUAUUUCUUUUUAUGUUGUUUUGCUGUCGCGUCCGUUAAUUGUAAACAGAUUUUAAUUCGACAGACUGGUAGAUGGAUCGUGGCAUGAAGCACGCCCUCGUUUAUAUUACGCUAGAGCAUGUGAUUAGACAAUAUUAUUCUUAGUGUGGUGGGUGGUGUGGGGGGCUGAAAGAAGCGCCAUCAACCAUUGAGAUUCCACCAUGAUCUUGUAGCUCUGGUUAAUGGUCAUUGCCUUUGGCCGUGAGACCGUGCUGCCAAAGGCCAAUAAAUGGCACGCGCCAUGCCAUCCCUGCACUUGCAUUUUAGUGUCGUGCCCCACUUUCCAUACCCCAUACCCCUGCCAACCGGUUCCUGCCCCCAUGCAUAUUUCUCUCUUCUGUUUCUGUGCAUUUUCAAGUUGCCGGAGCUUGUGUUGUUUCGGUUUACCCUCUUUUCUUUUCAUUAACUUGGGAGUUCUCCUCUGGGGUGUUGGUUUGUGGUCUGGCUGCCAGCAUGAAAAGGGUGUUGCCGAGACCCAAAAUAAAACACGAACACAAGAUUCUUCCCUCCGACACUGUGGCUUGACUCAAACAUUAAUGGCCCUGGGGUCUUAGAGUGAGAUAAAAAGUUGUUUCCCCUGCAGUUUUUAUGGCAGUAGCAAGGACUCCGACUGCACUUCUUCAUAAGGAACCGAAGCAGAUAUCCAAUCAAUAAGAAAAAUUGCACAGAGAUGCAAAUUUCUAAGGAUAGUUUUCAUAUGCCAGCCCACGCGAUUUAAAGGGCCUGAUCCGAAAACAACGAAAGGCGGAAACGGAAUAAACACACGCCGAAGCGAACCGGAAAGAGAAACAGAGCCACCAGAACGGACAAGAACUUGAUUGUUUUAUGACUUCUUUCAGCUUCCUGUUUCAGAAUCGGCGUCCAUGGCUUUUGCAUUCCAGAUUCAAAUGCGAUAAGUGCAUGAGAAUUUAUUGUACGGACCUGGCAUAAAUUUCCAGGGUAAUGGGAACUUAAAUGUCAGGUGUCAGAGGCGGCACAAGUGAUUACACGAGCGGAAUUAACUGAUCAAUUUGUAAUUUAACCAUUUCCGAUACCGCGAAUAAUGCACUCUUACACUUACCUCAAUUUGCAAUUUUAUUUAUUAUGCUAACAUC